rnacentral:misc_RNA from 1 species
GAAAUGCGAUACGCAAUGCGAAUUGCAGAAUCCGCGAGUCAUCAGAUCUUUGAACGCAAUUGGCGCCGAUACCCUCGGCAUGUUUGUUUCAGUGUGGAAGGAAUCACAAAUCAAAAUGCGAUUGAAAGCGGGCCUCACCGGCCGCUUUCUCUCGUUAAACACGUCCGGUGUCUGUGCGAAUAUUCGGUGGCCAGUCACCCCAACAAACAAACGAAGUAGUCUCUCUAAGAGAUCUCGUUUGUAACUCAAGGGUGCUUCUGGAAAAUCCUCUGGUAUUCAAGCAAAGCGCAGGCCCAAUUAAAAAUUUUAUUUUAAUUCAAUUACACCUGAAAUCAAGCAAGACGACCCGCUGAACUUAA